AGCGGAGGAAAAGAAACUAACUAGAUGGCAUUCCCCUAGUAACGGCGAGUGAACCGGGAAAAGCUCAAAUUUGAAAUCUGGCGUCCUCAGGGCGUCCGAGUUGUAAUCUAUAGAGGCGUUUUCCGUGCCGGACCGUGUCCAAGUCCCUUGGAACAGGGUAUCAAAGAGGGUGACAAUCCCGUACUUGACACGACUACCGGUGCUCUGUGAUACGUCUUCUACGAGUCGAGUUGUUUGGGAAUGCAGCUCAAAAUGGGUGGUGAGUUCCAUCUAAAGCUAAAUAUUGGCGAGAGACCGAUAGCGAACAAGUACCGUGAGGGAAAGAUGAAAAGCACUUUGGAAAGAGAGUUAAACAGUACGUGAAAUUGUUGAAAGGGAAACGAUUGAAGUCAGUCGUGACCGAGAGGCUCAGCCGGCUCUGCCGGUGUAUUCCCCUCGGUCGGGUCAACAUCAGUUUUGUCCGGUGGAUAAGGGCGGUAGGAAGGUGGCACCCACGGGUGUGUUAUAGCCUGCCGUCGCAUACACUGGGUGAGACUGAGGAAUGCAGCUCGCCUUUAUGGCCGGGGUUCGCCCACGUCCGAGCUUAGGAUGUUGACAUAAGCUCGAGCUGUUAAACGACCCGUCUAAC
rnacentral:rRNA from 1 species